ACCUGCACUUCUUUAUCUGGUGCCUUCCACGCUGGGACCUGUGGUUGUCAUCUCCUGGGUUAGGAGGGAACUAGCAGAGUUGUGGGAAGGAAGCAUGCCAAAUCUCAAUGAUAAAUUACGCCAAAUAGAAGUUUAAGCCAUCAAUCUUCAAUGGACACUACAGAGCUAGUGCAGGGCAAUUGGAAGUUGUAAAUUCACUUG
rnacentral:misc_RNA from 1 species